CUCAAUGAAAUUUAAUAGCCGCAAUACGUGCUAAGGUAGUAUAAUCAUUUGUUUUUUAAUUAAAAACCAGAACGAAAGAUUCAAUAUUUCUAUUUCUAUCUUAUAUAUACCUAUUGAAUUUAUUUUAAAUAUAAAAAAAUAUUUAUUUUUUAAAAAGACGAUAAGACCCUAUUGAACUUUACUAAAGUUUAACUGGGGUAGUUAAUUAAUUAAUAUUUUAAUUUUAAUUUCAAAAAACCUAAUACAAUUAAAAUAAUCAAGUUACCAUAGGGAUAACAGCGUAAUAAUUUUUCAAAGAUCUUAUUUAAAAACUUGCUUACGACCUCGAUGUUGAAUUAAUAAUCUAUUAAAUGCAAUAAUUUAAUAAUGAAAGUC
rnacentral:rRNA from 1 species